UACGUAGGGAGCAAGCGUUGUCCGGAAUCCUUGGGCGUAAAGCGCGCGUAGGUUGCCUCGUCAGUCCGCUGUGAAAGUCAAAGGCUCAACCUUUGAAAGCCGGUGGAUACUGUGAGGCUAGAGUACGGAAGAGGCGAGUGGAAUUCCUGGUGUAGCGGUGGAAUGCGCAGAUAUCAGGAGGAACACCAAUAGCGAAGGCAGCUCGCUGGGACGUUACUGACACUGAGGCGCGAAAGCGUGGGGAGCGAACAGG
rnacentral:rRNA from 1 species